ACCAAAGCUCUGGAUACAUUGAAGAGAAUGAAGCAGAAAAUAAGACAUCAAUCAAAGAAACUAAAAGCAGCAUGGUGAUCUAAGCAAAUAGGAUGGAAUAACCCAAGCUCUGGUGGAAUUGUAGAGAAUCAAGCAGAAAAUAAGACAUCAAUCAAAGAAACUAAAAGCAGCAUGGGGAUCUAAGCAAAUAGUUUUUGGUGGACACCAGCAUGGACCAAAAUUGGAUUUGAGAGUUGCAAACACAGUAAAAGAAGAACUUGCAAAUAGG